CGUGUAGGCGGCCCUGCAAGUCGGAUGUGAAAUCCCACGGCUCAACCGUGGAAGUGCAUUCGAAACUGCAGGGCUAGAGUCCUGGAGAGGAAGGUGGAAUGCUUGGUGUAGAGGUGAAAUUCGUAGAUAUCAAGCGGAACACCGGUGGCGAAGGCGGCCUUCUGGACAGUGACUGACGCUGAGACGCGAAAGCGUGGGGAGCAAACAGGAUUAGAUACCCUGGUAGUCCACGCCGUAAACGAUGAGUGCUAGGUGUCACGGGCUUUGACCCUCGUGGUGCCGAAGCUAACGCGUUAAGCACUCCGCCUGGGGAGUACGGUCGCAAGACUAAA
rnacentral:rRNA from 1 species